AGCGGGUGUAGUUUAGUGGUAAAACUACAGCCUUCCAAGCUGUUGUCGCGAGUUCAAUUCUCGUCACCCGCUU
rnacentral:tRNA from 2 species